AUGAGAAAAGCACUCACUGUACAGCUGAACACUGAGUUCAAUCCUGGGACCUCAUGUGCUGGAAUGAACGUUGUUCUCUUCCACACGCAAACCAUGGCAUCUCCCCCAGCCCCCCCCCACAACACACACACACACACACACACACACACACCACACACACACACACACACACACACACACUCUCUCUCACACACAUACACACACACACACACACACCACACACACACACACACACACACCACACACCACACAUACCCACUCUCUCACACACAUACACAUACACACACACACACACCACAUACCACACACACACUCUCUCGCACACAUACACACACACAUAGCACACACACACACACACACACACACACACACACACACACACACACACACACACCACACAUACCCACCCUCUCACACACAUACACACACACACACACACACCACAUACCACACACACACUCUCUCACACACAUACUCACACACAUAGCACACACCACACACACACACACCACACACCACACACACCACACACAACUCUCUCUCACACACAUACACACACACACACACACACACCACACACACACACACACACCACACAUACCCACUCUCUCACACACAAACACACACACACCACAUACCACACACACACUCUCUCACACACAUACACACACACAUAGCACACACCACACACACACACACCACACACACGCACACACACACACACCACACACCACACAUACCCACUCUCUCACACACACACACACACACACACACACACACCACAUACCACAUACACACUCUCUCACACACAUACACACACACAUAGCACACCACACACACACACACACACCACACACACACACACACACCACACACCACACAUACCCACUCUCUCUCACACACACACACACACACACACACAGCACACACACCACACACACACUCUCUCACACACAUACAUACACACAUAGCACACACACCACACCACACACACACACACACACCACACACACACUCUCUCACACACAUACACACACACAUACCACACACACCACACACACACCAUACAUACACCAUACACACACAUACACACACACACACACACACACACACACACACACACACAUGAAUAAAUAG
rnacentral:lncRNA from 1 species